UUUCAAGAAAAUGUUCACGCUUCUCAGUGCUGUUUUAAUGACAUUUUGAGUAAAUUCCUUCCAUAACUGUCAUCUGUGAUUGUACUAUUAAGCAGGUGACAUUCUGUUUGUUACUUUGACCUCAACCCUUACUCCUGCUAUUAUUUUGAGACCUAAAAUGCAGAUUUGUACUAUAGCCCCUCCCCCUUCCGAAGCAGAUACAAUCCAAGACCCCAUAUGGAUGCCUGAAGUCACAGUUAGUACCAAACCCUAGAUGCACUGUUGUUUUUAUACACACAUAUUUAUAUAAAGGUAAAUUUAUAAAUUGGGCACACUAAGAGAUUAAGAGCAAUAACUAAUAAGCAUAUAGAACUAUUGUUACAGUAAACCAUGGUAAUUAAAUGAACGAAGUCUCUAUUUUGUUUUUUUUGUGAUUUAUUUUAAUUAUGUAUAUAUGACAGAAUAAUGUAUUUUGAUUCAUUGUAUCUUUUUUG
rnacentral:lncRNA from 1 species